GAACGCUAGCUACAGGCUUAACACAUGCAAGUCGAGGGGCAGCAUGGUCUUAGCUUGCUAAGGCCGAUGGCGACCGGCGCACGGGUGAGUAACACGUAUCCAACCUGCCGUCUACUCUUGGACAGCCUUCUGAAAGGAAGAUUAAUACAAGAUGGCAUCAUGAGUCCGCAUGUUCACAUGAUUAAAGGUAUUCCGGUAGACGAUGGGGAUGCGUUCCAUUAGAUAGUAGGCGGGGUAACGGCCCACCUAGUCUUCGAUGGAUAGGGGUUCUGAGAGGAAGGUCCCCCACAUUGGAACUGAGACACGGUCCAAACUCCUACGGGAGGCAGCAGUGAGGAAUAUUGGUCAAUGGGCGAGAGCCUGAACCAGCCAAGUAGCGUGAAGGAUGACUGCCCUAUGGGUUGUAAACUUCUUUUAUAAAGGAAUAAAGUCGGGUAUGUAUACCCGUUUGCAUGUACUUUAUGAAUAAGGAUCGGCUAACUCCGUG
rnacentral:rRNA from 1 species